GAAAUGCGAUACGUAGUGUGAAUUGCAGAAUUCCGUGAAUCAUCGAAUCUUUGAACGCAAAUUGUACUUUCCAGUAAUCUGGGAAGUAUGCUUGGUUGAGGGUCAUUAAAAUAACAUUCGUGAAUUUUUUCGCGGAUUUGAGUUUUCCAGUAUUUAUAAUAUAAAAAAAAUGUUGGUAACUUUAAAAUUAUUAUUACUUGGUACAAGUUGAAAACGUGCUAUAUUGGAUGGUUCGCUGACGACUUGUCCACCUUCAUAUAUUAUGCGCGCACUUGGUUUUACGGCUUUGUGCGAGUAUAUAUUUUUUUUAUGACCUCAGCUCAAGCAAGAAUACCCGCUGAACUUAA
rnacentral:misc_RNA from 1 species